GCCCGUGAAGAGGCGGGCAUAAUAAAACAAGACGAGAACACCCUAUGGAGCUUCAAUUUACUAAUGCAAACAACACCCAAUAAACCCACAGGCUCUAAACCACUAAACCUGCAUUAAAAAUUUUGGUUGGGGCGACCUCGGAGCAUAACCCAACCUCCGAGCAACAUAUGCUGAGACUUCACCAGUCAAAACGAGUUACCGCGUGAAAUUGAUCCAAUAAUUUGACCAACGGAACAAGUUACCCUAGGGAUAACAGCGCAAUCCUAUUCUAGAGUCCAUAUCAACAAGAGGGUUUACGACCUCGAUGUUAGAUCAGGUAACAUCCCGAUGGUGCAGCCUCUAUUAAAGAUUCGUUUGUUCAACGAUUAAAGUCCUACGUGAUCUGAGUUCAGACCGGAGCAAUCCAGGUCGGUUUCUAUCUAUUCUACA
rnacentral:ncRNA from 1 species